UUCUUCAACAACUGCAGCCACCUCGGUAGCUCGCUAGCCAACAGUCGGAACAUUCAAGUUCUUUAGACAAUUUCGUGCUUUAUUUGCCACUGAUUUAAACAUACGUAUGUGGAAACAACUAGCUACCCCGGGAAACAGAUAAAUGUUUUGAGCAAAAUAGUGUUCUUUACAACCGCAAACUUGGAGCGAGUGAUGUCAUAGUAAGGCAUUCAAGGAUGGGAAGUCGUGAUGUCAUCCAAUAGGCGACAGAUCUUCAUGAGAGAGACGGGACUAUCGUGGAUCCUAAACAACAUCAUGAUGCUGACGAGGCAGAGAAGAGUCUCUCCAGAUCAGAACUUCUCAAGAAACACCAGCGGAGACCCACAGGGAAGAAACCUCACUGCUGCCCUGUGGGAUAUGUUUCAUAAGAUCAAAUUCACUAAAAGUACACCUGAGAAUUCACACUGGAGGGAAAUCUCACUGCUGCCCUGACUGUGGGAAAAAAUUCAAUUCUUCAGUAGACUAUAAAAUAAUUCACACUGGAGAGAAACCUUUUGGCUAUGAUCACUGUGGGAAGAGUUUUAUUCGGCGACAAACCCUAAAAACACAGCAGAGAAUACACACUGGAGAGAAACAUUAUAUCUGUAAUCAAUGAAGGAAGAGUUUUUCUCGGCCAGACAGCCUGAAUAUACACAAGCGGACACACACAGGAAAGAAAUUGUAUAGCUGUAGUCAAUGUGGGAAGGGCUUUACUCCAUCUAGCCAGCUGACGUUACACCAGAGAACACACACUGGAGAGAAAUGUUAUAGCUGUGAUCAAUGUGGGAAGGGUUUUACUCUAAUUAACAGCCUGGUGUCACACCACAGAACACACAGGAGAUAAAUCUCAUAGCUGUAUGUUCAAUGUGGGAAGAGAGACACUGGUAAAAGAUCUCUGAUCAAACAUCAGAAAAUGCAUGGAGUUGUUUCAUGACAUCAAUGAAAUAAUGUCACAAUGUAGAGUAUUUUAAUGAUGUCACAAUGUAGAGUAUUUUAAUGAUGUCACAAUGUAGAAGCCUAAACGUUUGCCCCCCUGUUCUGUUGAUUUCAGCUAUGGAUUUUAGCCUCAGAGGAAACAUCCAGGCUCUGAAUUGAAAGAGUACUAUUUAUGAGAUUUAACAAAAAGUGACGAACAAAAAAAAGAGUUGUGUUACACCUACCACGUUGGUGACACACUUGAAUCAAAAUGCAACACUUCACAAUGUAGCUAGCUGUUUUCUACAAAUUGUCCUCUAACCAGGGAUGUACACAUUUUUCCCAGAUUCCGUGUGGUUUUUGAGCUGUUAGUUUUAAACAGGACAUGCAACCUCAUCUCCCUCCUCUCGCACAAAUGAUUUUAGCAUUAUAUUGAUGAGUUAUGACAAAUUAGUGUUGGGUUCCUUUGUUUAGUGACCCCUACAUUUAAAUGCAUCACUCCAAAAUGUAGCUGACUGUCUUCUGCAGGUUGUCCUCUAAUCAGUGAGGUAAAAGAUAUCUCCCAUUUCCAUGUAUUUUUAGUUUCAACAACACGUACAACCUGAUUUCUCCCCUAAUCGAUAUCAGUGAUUUAUUGCUACUUGUCAAAACAACAGCAUUUAUGGUGCUUGUAUAGUUUAUCAGGUGCUUGUUUAAAAAAAAAAAAAUACAAGUAAUAUGAUUAUUGUGGCAGAUGUUUGUGUAGAUAGCACAUGUUAUAUUUAGGUUUUCAAUUUAUCCCAAACUGUUUCUGCAUAUUGGUUAUUGAUUUGGACAUGUUAAAACUGUGUUUUGACAUUGGGCUAUCCCACCUAGCAAAUGUAAUUGAAAAGACGUUGAAAAUAAGACUGCAAUCAAAUAUUCGAUGUUUACAUUUCAUGUAACAUUUAGUAAUGGUAAUUAUUUAUGCAACCAACUGAUCAUUUUUUGGUACAAUUAUAUGAACUUUGUUGCCCUUCUUUUAGAAUAUCACGGAUCAUUCUCAGAUGUGCCAACCCAAAUGUACUAGAGCAUGACAUUGGGGACUGGGCCUCGAUCCAACAACAUGCUUAUCUAGUGAACCCUGAAACGAGAGAGAAGCUCUGCAGUGAGGUGGAAAGUUACUACGGAAAUUGCAGGAGUUUCCAAGGGGAUGAGAGUUCUAGAAGCUAGUGGGUUUUAGGAAGAAGAGAGUUCUAGAAGCUAGUGGGGAAAAAUGAGUUUUAUUUCUUGUUUUUAAUUGUUGACAGCCAGUAGACACCAUGUUUUAUAUUGGUGAAGGUGAAGCAUUGUAGUUGAUUAUAAUGUGAAAUGGAAGUUGUUUUCUGAUGGUGGUGCACAAACUUGUCCAACAAAAAUAUAGGUAAUAUUUUCUAAUAAUUGCGCCAACAGUUGUUGCCUUCUCACCAAGCUGCUUGCCUAUUGUCCUGUUGCCCAUCCCAGCCUUGUGCAGGUCUACAAUUUUAUCCCUGAUGUUCUUACACAGCUCUCUGGUCUUGGCCAUUGUGGAGAGGUUGGAGUCUGUUUGAUUGAGUGUGUGGACAUGUGUCUUUUAUACAGGUAACGAGUUAUAAAAGGUGCAGUUAAUACAGGUAAUGAGUGGAGAACAGGAGGGCUUCUUAAAUAAAAACUAACAGGUCUGUGAGAGCCGGAAUUCUUACUGGUUGGUAGGUGAUUAAAUACUUAUGUUACUUAAAAAUCAUACAA